rnacentral:lncRNA from 1 species
AAACAUAUAUGAGCUCUCUAUCCUCCGACCUAGUCAGAGGUGCCGCAAGCUGGGUAGAUCCUCAACCAUGGUUCUAUGUCUGGGAGCCGGUCAUUGCUGCAUCGAUUGUGGGGUCAUUGGUGAUCCUUUGUCGUUCGAACCUGAACGCAAAACAUCUAAUAUAAAGAAUGUUAUAUUAGUUAGCAUAAGAUAAAAUAAUAUAAACAAAAAUAACUAAAGUGUUAGAGUUUAUCAUCUGGUGUGAGAGGUGC